CGGUGUCAAAAAGUUUUUUCAAUUUUAAAUGUUUCAAUUUCCAAUUUGAAUUAUUCUGCUACGUGUUGUGUUCGUGGUUUUCUCUUUUUAUUCUUAUUUGAAUUCGUUUGUUGGUGUUAUCUACUCCUAAAGUAAUCUCAAAAACAUUUAAGUUUUGAACUUUCGAAGGCUAAAAUUUGCUUUGGUGUGGACCUAUUAUACACUUAAAAGGCAACCUACAACGUUUAUUAAACAACUUCUGGCUGGCUGGAACACAUGAUUCUGGAAACAGUGCAUCUCUUUACUUGUGAGAGCUAUCCAGAAACAAAUCGACUUGGGCACCAAAAAUAACUUCGAGAAUUUAAACCAAAUUUCAAUUUUUGAAUGGACAUCUAUGAUGGACACUGUUUAAGACUUCUACCUUGCACAUAGUGUCUUUUAUUUAAUACACGCGUUCAUUCAUUCAUUUGUACAAAAAUCACAAAAACGUAUCUUGAACUCCCUCCUUUUUACCGUUAAGUUUCAAGACUGGUGAAUCCACCAAAGUGGAGUCCUUACAUUAAAAUCAGAAAAACCUCUUACUCAUAAUAAGUUCAUAUAAGUAAAUUUGUUGUAAAGUCAUCUAUGUGAGUCUACAACCAACACGAAAACAUACAAGAAAUGUUUGCACAAACUAUUAAAAGCACUACUUUUCUGUGAAAAUUGAAUUGGGCACAUGCCUAAAACUCCAAUGGUACCCUAUUAGAGUCCGUAUUUACUUAUUUAGUUCUUUAAUUUUUUUCCAAGUUUCAAAAUAAUGUUAAAUAACCGGUUUUUGAGGGUGAGGAAGUCGCCAAAUUAAUAUGUGGAAGCCAAACACGACAUUUAUUUCUUAUAAUUGAUGUUUUCAUAAUUUGUGAAACGUUAAUUCAUUAAUAAAUUAUUUUCAUUCAA